rnacentral:lncRNA from 1 species
GUAGCACCCUAAUCCCUGGGCUUCUGUGCCGUUUAGCAUGUGCUUUCCUGGAUCUCAAGGCCCAUGGCCUACCUUUCUCUGUCCAGGCAGCUCUGGGAGAGUGGGAGAGUGGCUCACCCAUCUCUGAAAAGGAGAUUCCCCAGUACUAGAACCGGGAAUGGAGGUUUUCUGAAGACAAAUGUUUUCCUAAAAAUUGAAGAGGCAGAAAAAGACCCAUUAUACCAUUAGUGCAGGUAAA